rnacentral:rRNA from 1 species
UUGACGGGGCCCGCACAAGCGGUGGAGCAUGUGGUUAAUUCGACGCAACGCGAAGAACCUUACCAGGGCUUGACAUCCCCUGACCGCGUAUGAAAGUACGUUUUCACCCUCGGGUGACAGGGAGACAGGUGGUGCAUGGUUGUCGUCAGCUCGUGUCGUGAGAUGUUGGGUUAAGUCCCGCAACGAGCGCAACCCCUACGUUUAGUUGCUAACGCGUGAAGGCGAGCACUCUAGACGAACUGCCGUUGACAAAACGGAGGAAGGUGGGAUGACGUCAAAUCAUCAUGCCCCUUAUGUUCUGGGCUACACACGUGCUACAAUGGCCGGUACAGACGGACGCAAAGCCGCGAGGUGGAGCAAAUCCUAAAAAGCCGGUCUCAGUUCGGAUUGCAGGCUGCAAUUCGCCUGCAUGAAGUCGGAAUCGCUAGUAAUCGCAGGUCAGCAUACUGCGGUGAAUACGUUCCCGGGCCUU